UACCUGUUGGACAGAAGUGGACACCUCUGUGCGUGGGCUUGGCGAUGNCAGAUGUUUCCCCACAUAGGUUCCUUGAACAAUGCUGCGUCGGAGAGGAGGGGUGGAGGGAAAGUGAGCUUGCCACUGAUGAAGGUGAAACAAUGUAAUAGGACAACUGCCUGGAACACUGAAGAAUCACAAAUUCAGUCCCCAAAAGAAGACAGUGACAAACCUGUUCUAUAUCUAUCAAGAAAAUGCCAUGCAGAUAUUCGUGUAGCUACCAGCAGUUGACCCAACUCACAAAACCAAAANCCACACAUUUUCUGCCAAAUGGCACUCAGAACAACACAAAACAAACAUGGUUCUACUUUGCUGAAAUUAAUCACGGAGACAAACAGAAUGUAAAAGAAGUGAAGUUUGAGGAAUGCAACUUUAAAAAAAAAGAAAGGAUGAGGAAGAAUUUGCACAGAAAGAGGGAUGUCUGAAGGAUAUACAUCUCUAGCUUGUUGGCAUGUUUUAUUACCAUAUGCAGAAUAAAUUCUUCCUUUAUCUUGCA
rnacentral:lncRNA from 1 species